GCUGGCCAUAAUCAGGGUUCCCUGAGGCUGUCAUGUCUGCCUUGGGGAGGUGAGUGGCAGCGCCGUACGUGGAGUCAAAGAGGGACUGGUCGUCGCUCACCACCGACAGGGCCUCCUUAAUAGUGCCGUCCAUCUAGAAUAACUUCCAGCCGGUACCAGCAAUAUUCCACACAUUGACCCGGUUUAGCCUGCAGCUGAAGCCUCCCGAAGUUUUUAUCCGUCUCUCUUUCACUUUUCUUUCUGUCUUUCCAGGGAUUUUACUUUCCUCUGCUUAUCCCCUCGCCUUCUCUCUCCCUCUCCCUCCCUCG
rnacentral:lncRNA from 1 species